UGGGUUUUGGUGGCUAAUGACUUGUUUACUGAUGACAACUUUGUAGUAAAGUAAGCUCUUCACCUCAGCUAAGUUCCGAAUUAUCUUUUAAAGAAAAAGUUUCAUGGAGUUUCUGGGAUGAGCAUUAGCCCUAUUUUAUAUUGAGGUUUACCAGGAAGCUUGGCUAAUGAUGGUGAAUCAUAGUAUAGCUCUCAUAUCUUUGUCCAAAAUCGACAUAUGAUGAUAAAAACGCAUAAUUCCUAACAAAUCACAAACAACUUCGCGAGCCUUUGGCUUGUUUCUAUUUCUUUGAACAACUAAGACCUGCGGUUCUCAUUGCAUCUAACCUUUCGUUGAAAAUGUUCUAGUUGCAACCAUGGAUGAUGAUGCAGAGGAAGCUGCAACCCUGGAAGAAGAUGAAACUAGGACAACUAAUGGAUCGGAGAUGGAAAUUUUGAGCGAGACGAUGCAUCUGGUGCUGCACCAGUAGAAGAAACUGACAACAUUGAGUCUGAUCCAUUUGGACUUGACGCAUAUAUUCCCAGCACGGUGAAGAAAGAUGCGAAGGUAAAGGCAAAAGGAUCCAAGACCAAAACGAGAAAGAACGAGGAGGAUAGCAAGUUUGACAGAUUUCUCAAAUGUCAAAGAGAAGCCUUAAUCACUUGCUUUGAGAUUGCUGCUCGGCGAUACAAGACACCUUGGUUAGAUCUCAGAACUUAACUACUUGAUUAGCAUUGUUUAGGAUAGGCAUAGAUGUUGACUGUAACUGAAGUAGUUACAUACACUCUUUUUUAGGUGUCAGGCAGUGAUAGAUAUUCUAGUGGAGCACGCCCAUGAUAACGUCGAGAGGUUUACGUCUCGACAAAGAGAUGCCAUCGUGAAGUUGUGGGCUUCAAUUCGGAAACAACACAUUCGUAGGAUGCAAGGCAAGUCUGUGAAUGGGAAGCUUGAUGUGACUGCUUUCGAGGCGCUGAAGGAGUAGUACUCGACGGAGAAAAUCAGUAUUCGGAAUGCGGUAGGUUGUGGUGGAGAACGCAAAGCCCAACAAUGGCUUGGAUGAUAUAGAUAUGGUGAGCGUACCAUCUUUUUGUAUGUCGUGGAUUUAUUGUUGUUGUUAUUGUUUAUCAUCCAUGGCUUUGUAAUGGAGAGUUAGCUCUUCAAUACAAUCCGUGGAAAAUGUUGAAUGAGGUUUUUGAGUUGAUCGUGAAAUGUUACAUUUUGAAACUACGUGAGGAGUUAAGUAAGAUAUUUGUAAAAGAGUCUCAAGGCAAAGGGGAAUAAUUUAUUUUGUAGAAGAACUAUCGGAAGGAACGAUAUAGAGAAGAUUAAGAUUUGUAUGGCCUUUUGAGGAUAUCCGAUAAAACUGAAACGAUAGAGAUAAGAUUCACAUGGCCCUAGUGCAAAGAUGAAAUGCAUAAAUCGAAAAAAAUAUCGGGUAUCGAAAAAGUAUGUUUUUGAAGUUUCAACGUUUUACUAUAAUGUUGGUGAUGAAUUCAUAAAUAAGAUUAUUGAGCAUUUAUUAUUUUAAAAGCAUGGAUGGUGAUAACGUCAACGUGCAAAUAAUGGCAAACACAAAAAAAACAGUAAUUGAUAAAUGUAAUUUUAAUGUUAGGGUGUUCACAUAUUAAUCUACGAGACCCGAAUAUCAAAACACACAAAUAAUGAACGGAAGAGAUUAAAUUAUAGAAAUGGGAGUAUUCAAUAAAUCGGGAGUAUUGAAGUAUUUUACGUAAAAAUUCAAAUUUAGAAUAUGAUUUAGAGUUAACGAUUAUGAUUUAAUGUUUAAUUAAUAUGUGUUCUUAUCAAAAGGUAAAUGUUUUAAAGGAGUUCCUGCUUUAUUAGUUUCCGCUGCAUCUUUCUUUUCAAAUUUUUUUUUGUUUAUUUUAUCUUUCCGUCAAGUCUAGUUUUGUGUUUAGAUUGUUAGCUUUCGUUCAAAAUUUUUAUUUAUUUUAAGGAUAGUUGGAAGUACAAAUACGAUAAUUCUUACUACAUAAUUAUGAAUCCGAACUUCACUCAAUAAGAAUGGUAAUUAUCCAUAAAGAUCGUUUGACCACGAACGUAGAUUUCUUUUUGAAAAAAAGAGGAGUCUACCAUUAUUCUUUUUAUCAACUAUGUAAUUGUGGAUGAUCGGCCGCCAACUUGUCGGAAAUUAAACCUCUUUAACUUAUUAAUUAUUUAGUCCUCUUUCUACUUUAUUUUAAUAAUUACCGGCCAUCAUCUUAUAUGUGUCCUAAUCAAUGUUGUUUAAGUGACUCUUUAGUUAAUUGUACUGCCGCAUUCACAAUUUCAACCAUAUGGCGAUCACGAAGAGACAUUGGCGUGCUUAAUUAUAGGCUAAAAUAACAUCCCCUUUGCAAGUUGUAAUUAUAUGUAUUACGCUUAUAGUCAGGGUCAACACUUAGACUCAAGUGGUUGUAAUGCUUAAUUUUGUUUCCAGAGAUUUUGAGUUAGAAGUUUGAAAUGUACAAAUUUUUAUGUUUAUGUAAUGGUAUCAUCGAUCUCAUCCGAGUGGACGACUGUCAAAGCUUACCUAAAAAAAGCAUUACUAAAUAUGGUGUCUGUCAUCUGUUUGAAAAUUUGACCACUUCGGAGUCGACCGUUUCUGCCUAAUAACCCUAAUUGGCAACCGUGGAAGAUAGGUCGAUUGAUAGGACUCCGAUCCAAGGCGGUUGGGCCCAGACGUACGCAUAGAAAACCCGUGUUAGGUCAUCGCUAGAAAACAUACGUGGCAUCGUCUUCAUGUACCCCUCAACUUAACAGUCUUAAUUACAUUGGUGGUAUCGACCGUCAGGAUGAAACUACACAAGACCAUAAAUAGUAUCCAGCUAUCAUUGUACAAGGUAGGAAGGAUAUCAUAAUUGUAGAUGCAGCACUAUGCAUACUCUUUGUACAUUUCCUUGCAUUCUUUUUUACUCUUACGUCAUCCUGAAUUUACUACUGUUGGAUGAGACGAAAGCAAUACAAUCCAAACCCAAUACCAUUAUUUGUCCAACCCAAAGGACAAGGGUUGAAUAGUUGUGUGCGACGGGAGGCCGGUACUUGCAUUCUUCUCCAUUGAUCGUCUCUGAUCACCUUCAACUUGUAAGCUUUGUCCACAAUCCUAAUAAGCAGUAUUGCUGGUCGUGGCAACGAUGCUGUUAUAUAUAUGAUGAUGAACCGUAGCGGCAGAAGAAGAUCGAUCAGAAAUGAUGAUGGGAUUCAAUCUGUGGAUAUAUAUAUUUCCUUUAUUUUUCUGCUGACGAAUAUUAUCAACAAAAAUUACAGAGUAAAUAUGUACUCGUCAUUAUGGUAUUCUCAAUUGCACUGUUAAUUAUGUAUGUAUAUAUGUUUGUGUCUGUCCAUCACUGUAGGUUACAUUUAUGGGAGUGAUUGCGACUGUUGUUGGGUUUGGUCCUCCAAUGCCCUACAUGUAUAUAUGUAACGUGCAACGUCGCAUCAGGACCUAGCUAGCAAUCUAGAUAUAUGGACUGUCUUAAUUCCCCCGAUUAAGAUCCUUUUUGGGAUCUUCUUCAUAUAAGGAGCUAGGAUGGAUUAGAGCACCGGACUCGGUCGGAAACAAAUCAGACACUGAACCAAUUUCGUUGAAUUAUUGGGCCCAUUUCGUAAAAUUUCCGGGUCGAACCACUUAAAUAUACAAAAAUAUAUAUAGUUGGGUGACUAUGGACUCGGAAAUGGGGUGGGUCCGAGCCCAGAAAACCCGACCCCCAACUCCGCCCUUAAUCAUCUUCUAUUGCUACUCUUCAUGUAUCCUUGGAACUUUCUUUAACUUUGAUGCCAUGGAACAUCAUCAAAUGUUAUCUAUUAAUCAUCUUGUUAAGUCUUUGAUCCUUAAAUCAAAUUCGAGUAUGAGUUAUACUCUAGCCGGUUGGGUCAGAUUGGUUAUGACGGUCAACCCUUCUCAACGCUUAAUGAAACAACGUGUUUGGACUUGGGAACCCUAGUAUAACUUCUAAGAGGUGCUGACGUGAUUCUCAGAAGUUGCACUCUCUCCACUCUCACCUCUCUGCUCUCUCUCAACUGGAUCUGGGAAUCCUCUUACGACUACUAGGGUUCUUCACCAGCAGACGGUGGAUUACGAAUCAGAGCUUCUGCCGUCACUCAUAUCAGGGAAUAUUAUUUCUCUCUAGUUCUUGUUGAUUAUGUUCCUCUGUGUUGAUUGAUUGAUCUGUUAUCUUACUGGAUUUAUAUCAUGGUUCUCUUAUUCAUCUCUGUACUCUUUUCGGUGACCAGUGAUAGUCGAUUUGGGCUGAGUCUCCUCUAUUGAGACUCCGUAGAGUAGGGAGUUCCCGAACUUCUUGAACAAUUCCUGUGUCGAUUACUUUGAUGCAUGUGUAGAUUAGGGUUUCAAAUAAUCCGUUUGUGAUUCUUGUUUCUAUCAGUUUGCAUAACUCAUCGAUUUCGAUCCUCACAGCUCAUAUAUACAUAGAAUUUCAUGGCUGGAGUCAUACCGGCCGUGGAUAAUUGAAUCCAACCCAGAUGUUCAACGAUAAUUUUUUUGGCCUGUUGAUUGAUUCGAUGGUCACCUUCACAAUUGUUUUUUUCUAGUAGAUAAUAUAGUAGGGUUAAUAUAUAUGGUGCUUUAUUCAUACUAUUUUCUUGAACCGAAACUACUUGAUUAACAAAUUUUUGUGCCUUGUGCGCUCGUAUAUGUUUUCUAUUCAUGAUUGCCUUUGAUUGUCAAUAUUAUCAAUGAAAUUGUCUCAAUCACUAGUUUUCUAAUUAACAAUCCCCAAAUUGUCUCAUUUUGAUUCACAAUGCAUUAUUGGGAGCUAGGGGACCAUAUAUAUAUAUUAACCAUGCAUGAUGGCUAAAGAUUUGAAUGGCUGUAUGGUCCUCUUUUGAAUUUCCCUUUCAGAAUUGGACCAACAUAUAUGCAAAUAUCCAUAAUCCAUGUGCAUUUAAUUUCUCGACUCCUAAGUUUCAAAAACCCCAAGAAGAAUCCUCAACUAGUUUGGCGCCAAUCCCUUUCAUUGUAAUGGCAGACCGGGCAGGGUGGGCCAACCUGGGUCGUCGCCUAGGAUCUCCUAAUUCGUAAACGAAAAAAUUAUGUAUCAAAUUUUUGAAGUCGAAGUUUAUGUAACGUUUUAUAUGAUCAUCUAGUCUGGCCAUCAGGCCAUGACCGCCGAGUGGGCACUGGCACAGGGACAUCAAAUCAAGCUCAACUCACUUUUUCUCGCACAAGGAGGAUAUCAAACAUUACAUGAGAUGUUAAGAAUGUCUUAAAGGUUUGAGACAAAAUCAACUACCAACUGCAACAUUAAUGCUUAUUUACCCUCGUUUACGAGUCCAUUGAGUGGGUCUAAUGUCAUGCCCAAAUCCAAGGACUUUUAGUUAUCACUCUUGUUGUCUUUCAUUGUAACUUGGAGAGUAAAAUAAUAUAUAAUUUUCUAGAAUCACCUUGCUUAGGUAAAAAAUAUGAAAGGAUAUAUAUUAUUUUUGUUAGUUAUUCUAGUGGAUUAUCUUUUUUCUUUGUUUGAUUGAAAGACUCCCCCAUUACUUUGUAGAAUUUUCGGCCACCCCACAUCCUAUACAAAGACGAUUUGGCCUCAUGAAUAAAAUUGAAGGUAAUCACCUAUUGGUUCGUGGCACCUUCUACCUUUAGAAACUUUGAGUUCCAAGCUCAUCUAUAGCUAGCAAGUCCAAGUACGUUUUUCCUUCUAUCCUUGAAUAUAUCGGUAUGAAAACAGACGGACCACAACGCAUAUAAAGUACAUACCGUAUCUCAAUAUCAACCGGUUCAGUUGAAAUUAAACACCCCAUCCCCAAACAGCAAAGUACCGACGGAGGAGAAAGUCGACAUGGGAAGAGGAAUCAAGAAAGACAAUUCAAUACAAACUUUGAUGCUUGCCUUGGUUGGGUUGCUGUGUUUAAAGUGUUUUUGGUAUGUGGUGGCUGUUUAUUGAGAUUGUUUGCUUCCGGCUACCAUCUGUGACAAUGAACCACUUAUAUAGCUAUAGGUUUCACACGCCGCAUUAAUUGGGUCUGGUUGGGAAGUCAUGUGGGUUCAUAGUUUCACAUGUUGAAUUCUAGUUAUUUAUGGUUAACAUGUUAUUUUAUUUAUCGGACUAUAAACUUCAAAAGAAUAUAAUUCUUUUUUAGAUUUAGGAGAAAUUUCUGUCAAACAACGCUUCAGCCAUUGUUACAUGAUUUUCUUUAUAUUUUGACAAAAAUGAAUGUAUUACUUCACAUAUACCGUAUAGUAUAUUUCAAAUUUUAUAUAAUUCAAUUUAAUAGACUAAACCAUUUUGGAUCUGCCGUUGCACCUGACUACACCCUCGUUCUCAAAAAUUGUGACUGAAAUAUAUUCCGAGGUUGUUUGAUGUCUAGAUUUUGAAUGAAAUAAUAUAUCCAAACAAAAUUCUUAUUUUCAUAUAACUGAUUUUUUCCGAUUUAGGGCCGAAUUUUGGUUUGAUAUUAGGCGGUUGGUUCUAUUAUGAGCAAGUAACAAUGUUAACUCAAGAAGGCAACAAGGCAUAUAGGAGAGACAAAACAUAAACCAUUAUGAGCAGAAGAAACAGGCAAGAAAUGGCUAAAGAGAGAUUGAACUUAUCUGGUGCAACCAUCAUUAUAUGCCUAGAAAGUAAAUAAGCAGCGCUACUUACCCAAGAAUCCAGGACAAGUCCACCACUAAAUGCAUCACAUGCGGCUAUUCACAAUCCUGGCUUAGCCAUAAGAAGCAUGCAAUUAUAAUAUGGAAUCCGCAGAGAAGAAGGCCUACCACCAUUUACUGGGCCAUAUGCCCCCCCUGUGAUCAGACCAGGAAAGAGAUUGCUUGGCCCUCUUUCAAUUUUUGGCUUUACUUCAUCUUAACAAAAGUACCAAUUACUAGCAGAGGAAGAAGGAAUCUCCAGCUAACCCACUCCAAAGAUCCAUCUCCAUCAAAACCGCUUUAGAUUUCUCACCUCGAACUGGAACCGGAAUCGGAACCUUUGCCAAAGUCCAAAUGAUUCCACCUAGAAUCCACACACAACCACUGGAAGAUACAAUAAUAGUGGGGAGGAGAACACUGUUACAUCUCCAGCAUGUGACCUGGACUCCCAAAAGAAAAGAGGUUAUGCUAAAACUUAGUCAGUAUAAAAUGAGGGAAAUUCAAUUCAUGACAAGGAAAGUAAAUUUUGGGUCAUGCGAGUAUAUGCUAACACAUAAUCAGUAAUCAGCGGCUCAGCUUUAUUGCAGUAUCGCGUCAAACAAUGAUUUUGACAAAAGGCAGAGACAGACUUCAUAGCUCAUAGCCAAACAUGGGACUAAGUCACAAGAUAAAGAGGAGAAUGCAUGGUCGCUGUCAAAUCCUCUGGUUUGAACUGCAAAAAUAGUGAUGAAGAGCUCAGCAGGAAAUGUUAAGCAAGUAACGGACUAAAGAUUGCACAGUUAAUGGCAAAAAAGAUGGUACCUUCGUACCACUAACUCUUAUGAAAUAUAUGCCUGUUCAAGUAUCAAACAUAAUCUUGCUCAAACUUUGCCAAAAACCCUUCAUGGCAGCUGUACGUACCACUUCUCACUGCAUUGAUUGCAGUAGACGCGAAAUUGCUUUCGUCAGCAUGUGGUCCUUCCUUUCCUCAAAUAUGUAACAGCUCAGGGAAAUAUAUGUGAUUUCCGAGGUGGUCCUCUUAUGCUAUAUAAUGUUAACAAAACAUCACUGAAGCUCACAAGCAAACUGGGAUAGUCGCAUUCAGGUCAAUUAUGAACAAAAUGGCAAAGCUCAUGUUUUCGUAUUCUCAUUGGCUACAACUUUGUAGCACUUGGAACCGCUACAGUUAAAUCAUAUGGCAUGUAGAGUGCAUGACAAAAAGGAUCAAGCAGAGAGAAAGAGGCUACUAUUCAAUAAAAUUGACAGGGCUAAUCUCGUCGACAAGGUAAUUUUUUAUCAUCAUGCAUUGAGAACAAGGCUUCAGAGCCACCUUAGAACCACGAAAUGUCGCUGCCAGGGAGUAUAAAUAGAGAAAAUGUUAUCACCAUGUAUUGAGAAUACAAGGGAUAGUGUUAUUAAAUGCUAUAACCAGGGAGGGGGCCUUCAGAGUUCUCAAGUGGCAUCGUAUCCAUCAAUGCUAAGAUGUUCAAGUCCAGACUUGUAUAGAAUGGCAUAGUACUGUACGAUUUCCAUCCUUAAUAAAUGAAAUGUGCAGCCUGAUGCCUUGAGAUCUCGACCAAGAUGCAGGAAAUGCAAGGUUAGAGUUGAAUUUUCAAAUUUAUUGUAGCAAGAGACUCAGGGAUAUAGCAACCAGAAAAAACUUGGUGAAAACAAUUACAUAAUGUUGUGUACUGAAAUCAUGUCUCAGGGAUAAUGGCCAUAAUAUGUUAUGAUUAUACAACUAGCAAAGGUAGCAGCAUAUCAAAACAUAACACAAAUGUUUAGAACACAAAUGGUAUAUCUAUUAUGAGCAAGUAACAAUGUUAACUCAAGAAGGCAACAAGACAUAUAGGAGAGACAAAACAUAAACCAUUAUGAGCAGAAGAAACAGGCAAGAAAUGGCUAAAGAGAGAUUGAACUUAUCCGGUGCAACCAUCAUUAUAUGCCUAGAAAGUAAAUAAGCAACGCUACUUACCCAAGAAUCCAGGACAAGUCCACUAAAUGCAUCACAUGCGGCUAUUUCAACUCCUUUAGUGAAGCUGAAAAAGGCAUUGCGGCAAACCUAACUUCCAUAAACCUGUUCAUCCUUUGUAAAGUGGCAAUAGUGAAGAUAAUCUAAACUUGCUUCAUUCAAGUCAAUAAGAAGGCUACUCUCAAGUUUUCAUUGAAAGUUCUUAUCUUGAACAUCAGAACAGUGACAAUAUGAACGGCGAGAACAUAUAAUAUGAAUAACUCAUCAGCAACAUCUUACGAUGCUUAUAUAUGUUCCCAUGAGACCUAAGUCUAGACGGUAAUAGUGUACAACCCCAGGCAGAAAACCUAAGCAACCAUAUAAGAAGCGGGCAAAGCACAAUCAUGGGGAAGAAUCCUCAACCUUGUAGAAUUACAAUGGAAGCGCAGACACUGCUAAAGACAAAUAGAUGCUAUGGGGCAAGAAAUAAGAACUGCACUAAAUAUGGAGGGAGUGACUGAACCAUGGUUUAGCUGUUACCAUACUACCUCUCUCUAAGAACCAAGCUUGCUACUUCCUGUAUGAAGAAUUAUGCUCCAUGGCCAGCAACCCCUCACCGAUCCAAUUACACAUUCCAACUUUCCAACACUUCUGCAAAUGAAAAGGAGCACAAACAGCUAAUCCCCAAGGAUACAGGAAACAAAGACCUUUCAAAAACUCCAAGUGUUGUAAAAGUCCUCCGAAAUCAGCAUCAGCAUACCACUGAAAAUUAUAUCCAGGGUCAAUAACAUUCUUUUCCCAACCCAAUUCUCCCAAGCUACAUAUUUCAGUUUGGUUCCCAGGCAGGGACUCCAAGGAAUGUUAUAGAGCAAUGCUAACAGAUACGUCAGAAAGUAGAUAGAAGGUUUUGGCCAGACAUUAAUUUCCUAACUCACAGACUUUAAUCUAACAUGAUAUGGAAUAAGAAUCAGAUCCUAGAACUACAAUAAUUAAAGGUUUAUACCAAUAAACAAAUCCAUGUCUAAGGAUCAACCUAUCAGUCCAACCGGAUUGGCAUUGACUUCUGUAAGUCUAAAGAUGAACCUCACAGCCCAACCAGCUUGGUCACCAACUUCUGUAAAUCGAUCCUUCUCCAUCACAGGAAAACAAUAACUGUGUCAUAAGAUUUUCCAUGUAUAUCGCAUUCAUAUGAAUGCAAUUCCUAGACUUGUUACCUUUCAAAAUAAAUCUAACCCCAACUAAGAUGCAUCAGCAAACAUAAUUCCAGAAUCAUUGAACUUGGUGAUACAAAAAUUCAACUAACCCUUGCCUGUUAGCAUCUCAUGCUCCCCGCCUUCCCAGUCAAUUUGCUGUAAGAAUCACCACUAAGGUUGCUGUCGAACAAGAAUGAACACAUACCACAGGCAAAGAUUAUUAGUUCUAAACAUCACAAGUUAAUGCAUAGUGCAAACAAUACUACAGAUUCAAAACAUCGAGUAGUAUUGCAGGCUACACUCACAAGAUCAAAUCAUUAUAAUUCAUCAAAACAGAGCUGGCACCAUUCCAAAUAAGAUGGACAAAUUGAGAAGCUCAAACUAAUUGAAUAGAUAGCUUAAUAUUAAUACCUUGAUGGAAAUCAAAAUGUGUACAGGAAAGAGAUUCCCUUUCUAAGACAGAAAGCUGCAUCUAUAAAUCAAAUGAACCAUCCCAACAGAACUAUGAAGUUAGCAGCUCUAAUCCAUAUAAAACAUUUGCGUACUUUUCUAUUGCUCCAUCCUCCCUACCAUUGAAGUACUUCUCUCUCAUUUUCUGAAAGGCGUGGAGUGUCGCCAAGCUAUCUGAACCAGCUUGGUGACUCUUCCCAGUGACCCGCUCCACACCCAAAGUCUUGCAUGUCCUAUCAAGACCACCAAACAAGUUCGCCCCAAACUUCAUGAAAUGCUUAACGUCAUAAACGUUGUCCCCAAAGAACAUUCUCACCAAAUCAAGAAACUCAGUCAAGCCAUCGGGCAAAGGCUUCUGAGUCAAACACUUCACCAAGUAACCAAAAUCAUAAGCGCUAUGAAAUGUGACCCAACUAACUGAGGGAUCCAACACCAGUCCCGACGACAUCAUCAGCUCGGCAAAUUUCACAGCCUCAACUCCUUCCUUUCUGUUUUUCUCGAAAUCCAUCCCUUGCCUCCUCAACAUGUCAACGGAGUCAUGAGCAUGAUAGUCGCAAGACACAUCAAAAUCCCUAAAAUUGAAUUCCCAUAUAUAACAACUCCCAGUUCCAAAAUCCGGCAAAUUCCCUUCCUUAUUGGCGAGCGUGAGCCCUACCUGGAUCAGUUUAAGCGCAUCAACGUUGGCCUUGAGGAUCGCAUACCUUCCCGUUGGAUCCUGCGAUCGAUGACUUUGUUCGACGCCCUGCGCGCGAAUCACAACGCCUGGGAACUCCGUGUCCAUGGAAAUCAGCGGGUACUUUUCUACGACUUUCCGGAUUACCAAGAACUCCGAUACGAGAUUCUCCGCCCACACCGAUCGGAUCACGACAGGUCGGCAGGGCGAAGAAGGAAGAGGCGGCGGCAGGGAGGCGAUCGACUCUUCGCCGGUGGAUUUAGACAUGGCUGAUUGUUGGGGGAGAGGAGGAUCGGUCUGAAAACAGAGCGCAUCCAGAGAUGGACGAAGAGGCGGCGAAGAUCCGAGGUGACUUCGUUGGCGAUGGAAACGAACAGCCCAGAGAGGCGGAGGAGGCGGAGGAACAUGGCAGACGACGGAGUUAUAUAGGAAAAGGGUAACGGAAAAGGAGAAGGCAACAAACGUGGGGAUAUUGUUCAUAGGGCGGUUCCAUUUGGCAAAAAAAAAGCACUUAAUUAUUUUAAAAUAAUUGCUAGGGGUUUGUUUUUUGUUUUGUAAGCUUAGGAGGCCACGGGGGCCCAAAAUAGAGACGAACUUGGAUUAUCCAUCGAAGGCCCAAACUAAAGACGAACUUGGAUUAUCCAUUGAAGGCUUAAUCCACAAAGGGUCUCACUAAGUAGAACUUAAAAUGCAGAGGGAAACGAAACACGAUGCCUCAAAGGCUCUAAACCAGGCGGGUCGGAGCCGGCACGUCAACAAAGUCGCUUGGCAAGUAAACGCUUCUCGGCCUCGCCACUGUGAGUCACUUCGCCGGACUGUGUUCAACAAACGCGAUUUUGCUCCCGGAGAUUCUCCCAAAGAUCGCUGCUAGGAUUUUUGAGUUGUACCAGCUGUAUCUCCAAAAGGUAAUAGGUUUUUUUCCUCCCCCGAACAUUUUAUCCUGUCAGUCUUGUUGUCUGAUUUUAUGCAGACCAGGUGUUCGAUGAAACGAUAUCCCCCAUUAGUCGUUUAUCUUUGUAGAUAAGCUACUUCUUAGCCUACUUAACUGGUCUUUAGCUUUUUUAAAUCUUUCCUCAUUUACAUGGGGAAUACAUAUGAACACUUACGUCUGAUGAGAAGUUCGUCUCUGAGAUUCUGUUAUCUGUUUCUUUUUAAUCUGUUUGUGUUCGUAGUUUUGUACUUAUUUUUGUAAAGCUUGGUUUAGAUGUGUAUCAGAUGAUGAUGUGGGUCAAAUGUGGAUGAAUUCGAGGCUAAAAUAUAACCAUAUUAGCGUGGCUGGUCUCAAGUUUCUUUUGUUGUCCCCCUGUGUCCACAAUUGAUAUGUCCUUGAUAUGAAUAGAAAAGAAAGCUGCAUUGAUGUGUCAUUUAUAUCAGUGAUAAAUUUUAUAUCCUUUAUUGGUCACAUACUUCCUACUUUAAGCUGCAAGCUGUCUUUCUGUUUGUGCAUUCAUGUGUUUGUUAAUUGUGCCUAACCCAUGUACAUCAUGUUGGAGUCGGUUUAUCUAGUACUCCCUUCAACAAUUAAGUGCAUGCUUUUCCAGAAGAGCGCAUUCACUUCCCUUGGGAGAUAUAACAGAACAGUUUUAUUGUGCAGAUGUCGUUAUUCAUUGGUAAUUUAUCUCCCCGGACUCCCAAAGAUGAACUUGAGCGCGUUUUUGGAAGGUUUGGUCAGUGUGACAUACGAAUGAAAGAUGGAUAUGGAUUUGUGGUAUAUGAGUUCCCCCCUAAUGCAGAGAAAGCCCUGAAAUCGUUAGAAAAUAAGUACAUUUGCGGGCUGUCAUUAAACCUCUCAUGGUCAAAGAAACAACCUAGACCAUUCAACAAACAUGGAAGGCCUGUUAGAAAUUAUGAGUCUCAGCCCGGGAGAUAUUCUACAAGAGAUGCAGGGUAUGGUCGAGGCAAAUUGGAUUCACCAGGUCGACAAGAUUAUAGAAAGCUUGUUAAGCAUGAAGAUGAAAGUGGGAGAAGGUUCCAUGCCAAUAUUCUUGAUGAGGGGACAGCUUACCAACAUGAUGAGAUAAAAGAUUUUACUGGUCAAGAACAUCACAGUUACAGGGAACAUGAAUUGGUUGAUAAUGAUAGAUGGGAUCUCCAAUUCCAUGACAUGCCAAAUGAAAGUGAUGUCAAUGACCGAGUGGAUUCUGGCAGGUAUGAACCUUUCCAAGACAGAAACGAUGAUGGUAACCCUCAAAUGGUCCAUUCUGGCAGGUCUCCUUCUCAACGGAACUUCCAAGAGGAUGUAGGGCGAAAUUACAUUGGUGAAAGAAAUUUCAAGCGCAAUGAUGUAUCAUGUUAUGGCUGUGGGGGGCUUGGUCACAAAAUGCGUAAUUGUCCUGAGAAAAUUUUUCUGAAGAGAAAGUGGUCUAAGUUUGACCAAAGAGGUGACAAUUAUGUGAAUCGGCAAGGGAGAAGUGAAGAUCAGAUGGAAAUACUUGAAUGGUCAAGGGAAACAGAACCACGGAGGAGUAUCAUUCGAACACAGAGAAGUGGAAAUGGUGUAAAAUUAUCUGGUUCAAGAAAGGAUCAGACAUUGGCGAAGUGCAAUAUCUCUCCUGUUGGAAAGGAAGUUGGCUCAUUUCAGAAAGAGGAUCAUGCUAGAAAAAAGCGAAGCAGGAACGGAAGUGAAUCACCUGAAAGACGUAGCACUAGGAGAGGAAGAAAGUCAGUUUCAUCUUCUCAUGAUUCCGGUCACCCGGGAUCCAGAUCAUUAGCUAAGCCCUCAAAACACAGUCAAAUGUCUCAUGUUCACUCUAACUCGAGGUCAAUUUCAUCUAGAGCUCAUUCACCAUCCUCUGAUACAAUGUCUGGUGUGACACCACAUAGGUUCAAGAAUGCUAGGUCAAGAUCUAGAUCCAGCUCUCCUACUUAUUUGUCUUUAUCUGUGUCACUUGGACAGCCUACACCAUCUUCUGAUAAGGCUCGGUUGAAUCUGAAAAGUUCAUUGGCCGAAAUCAGAACUGCAGAAUCGAGGGAGAUCUUAGUCGAAAAGGAACUGGCAAUGGAAGCUAAUAUAGAGGUGGAGAAUGCUGAACCUGCAAAUGAAAUGACACAGCCAAGUCCUGUGUCAUCUUUCAAUAUAGAAGGUCAAGUUGGAAAAGACCUGCCUCUGGUUUACAGUGGAAAAGAGACAUUGUUCGCAUUACCCAAUGUUGGAAUAAAUUAUAGCACAUCGCUAACAGAAAAUGCAACAUCUGUUGCUCCAAGUUCAUCACUGCAGAGGCAUAUAGAGAUAACUACUGAAGAUUCAAGUCCGGUAAUUGAAAAGAAUGUGUCAUGUCCUAUAUUGAAACCAGAGUUUGAACUUCCAGUUAAAUCAGGCACCUCCAAUUCAAUAGCUCUUUCCUCAGAAGAUUUGUGUUUAGUUCUAAAGCAUUAUUAUCCUGAUACUCCAGAUGAAGGUGAAAUGAAUCUGAACCCUGAGGCGUACUUUGGUUCUACUCGUUUGUGGCCUUGGGAACUUAUCUAUUAUAGGAGGUUGAAGAAAAGUCCUAUAUCCAUUGAAAACUAUGCUAAGCGGGUGGAGCAAAAUCAUGAAUAUCAUAUUGUUGACAAGUAUAUUAGAAGCAGCAGUGGAUGGGGGGAAUUGGACAAAAGGAAUGAGUAGAAGUCCUGUUCAUUAGAUGGAUUUUGGCAUGGCGACACUUGUCUCACUUGACAGCCGUGUUUUAGUUGGAGUUCCAUGCAAUAUAUCUAGUGUGUUCCUUGAUUGAAGCUUUGGUAAGGUAACCAUGCCCAUGUAAAUUUUGCUACGUCAAACCUAGUUUGUUGUAUUUUGGAGGUAAUCUUAGGUUGGGGCGGUGCGAAGGACCACAUUUUCUCAAUGGAAAUGGUUUUAAGCUUUCAACUUUUUAUGUUUUGUCAGUAGGGAUUUUGUGUUUGUGGUUCGCUAAUGAUGAAUUUCUUUCCUCUCCAUUCAUGAUAGGUUCAUGGUGCUCAACCAAGAUAGCCAAUAGGUUUGGGCACGUAAUGUCUCAUGAUAGUUCUUCCUUCUGCAUUUCUGUAUUGCUGAAAAUUAUAUGCACAUGGAAGAAAAGUUGAAAAAAACAAAUUCAAUGAACAAAAGAGCCUGGAAUAGGCUAUGUGCAUGUGGCUUUAUUUUCAGAAGAGAAGAGACAAAUCUUCUAGAUCAGAAGGGAAAGGAACCGAGUCCUUGUUCACUUGCUUCCUAAGUGCCAAAUUAUAUGAAGUUAAAUUCUGUUUGGCAGCUCAUUAUGAUUAUUCUAAGUUUAGUAACAGCAAUAUGAUAUCUUAUGGAGCCUCAUUUUAUUUAGUACUUUUUAGUUGAUCUUGAAGUACAUCGUGAAAAAUGUGUCCGUUUUCUCUGUUAUGGGGAUAAUGAAGCUGCUACAUGUCCCUUUUCAUUGCUUCAUCUACCGCUACAUGCUCAUUCAAUCUUAUUAUUUUUUAUGGACUAGUGAUUCUCAACCCUAAUUAUGCGGUCAGUCUCGUAAGGUUGACAUUAUCUUCAAGCCGUCAAAACCUUGAUUAGGUACCAUUUUAGAGCUUAAAUAAAUUUUAUAUGUUUGCAUGCUUCUGCAGAAAAUCUAGUGAUGAACUAGAUGUAUUAUGAGAGGCAGCAACUUCUGUGUACUAUUGCUGCAUAUAGAACUCUUUGUUGAAAUCAAUCUUUAUCCAAUACAGUUUUGCUCUUAUAGACAUUGUAGAAGCGAGGCACCCCUCCUUCAUAGUUUAACCUCACCUCAUUGGCUUUAAGGUAAGUUAUUGUUGCCUCGUAGAGCACUAGACCACCAACCCCUUGGGCUUCAACAUCACAUCCUACUUACAUAAUACAUUUAAAAUGACAUGGAAUGUGGAAGUUGCACCACUAGAAAUUGGUAUGCCUGGUUCUCGUUUGGAGCAUUCUACACUAUUCCUGCUAUUUUUCUUCUGCUAUAUCAAACUUGUAACUGUUUCAUGCCUGCGGAUUGUUUUUUGUAAUUGAAUGUUAGCAUAUCUUUUAUAGUUUCAUCUGAAGUAGAGACUUGUCGUUACAUCUUUAGGGAAACCCUAUAAAGUUGAUGUGAACGAACCUGAAUGCCAAUUUGCAGCAUUUACUUGCAGGGACUGUCAAAUUUAUACUAACAACAGCAUGGACCUCAGCAGGCUCCAAGCUUGCACUCGUCUUAACAAUAGCAUGAUGCAAUCUACUUUGUUGUUCCUUCUUUUAUAUUUGUUUAAUUCUUUUGAUAACCUGACCUUUCUGUUAUUUGUGCUUAGGCUUCAGUUUUGUAAAAGCCAGGUGGGAUAGUUGUGUUGUGGGGUUUAGUUUUUGGAUUUGGCCUGCUAAAAUGACUCCGUGGGACGUAAAGGUUGAUAUUUAAGUCGUAGGGACUCGUGAUUAGUCUACCUAAGGUUCUAUACAGCCUUACAUGCCUUAUAAAUUUUUAAUGUGAAAUUGAAAGGUGCAAUGUAUAGAAACAAAUUUUCGCACUGGUUUUGUGGCAUACUUAGUUCUGUGCUGUGGCAUCUGCAUCCAGAUCCAGAGAGAUCUAAUAGCACGAAAAGUAUCUAGUAUGUUUAUCCAGUAUUCUAUAUCUAUAUUAGGGGUGUAUAUCAAGUCGUGGCACUCUUUUGGAAAUAGGAGUUUAGGGUAAGUCUGAUUGCCACUUAAAUAAUUUUGGUACUGAAAGGUCAUAACUCAAAGCAGAUGAGUCGUCCACUCAAGAUGAAUGUUGGUCAGUCAUAUAUGUACAUCAGUGCCAAUAUCCAAUUAACUGGAUCCGGCUACCAACACCGAUCAUUUGCUAUUAUGAUGUAUAAACUGUUACUUCAGAAGGUAAACCUCUUAAAUUGAUUUGAAACUCUGGUUCUUCCUUUUGAUGCUCUUCAUAAAACCAUUGUCACUGCAGUAAAUGCUUUACAGUGACAUUUUCUAUUGUCAGGGAGAUAGAUGCAUUUUGUGUCCAGUUUAGUUUAUCUGAACUAACCAAUUAUAAUUGGUAAGAUUUUGUUAUAUCUGCAGGUUGGCCAUUCAUGAAAACAAAGAAAAUGAUGCUUCCAAAAGGUAAAGAUUCAACGAAUUCUACUCCUUCGAAAUUAAAAUUUACUUUUCUUGUAGGUCCAUUGCUGAAGUUUGGAAUUAAGCAUUUUUUAGGAUCUGUGAUUUUUCCUUUUAGUCAGGAAUGACUUCACUUAUCGUGUUAAGGUAGAAUUCCAUGCAUGUCGUCACUUGAAGAACCUCUUAAGUGAUUUUUUGUUAAAUAAAUGUUGCGAAUUGGAGUAAGCUGUUCUAAUCUUCCGUUCCGGAAGUGCCUUGACAUUUGAGGAAUCCAAGUUUGAAACGUUUUACUCUGUAUGGACCAUAUAGAAUAGUCAAAUUAGAUUUGAUAUGUCAAUAGGACACACUCAUGAUGAAAAUACACGCACAAAACCGAUUGACAAUGUGCACGUUUCUUGUUUUAGUUUUAUCACUACUGUAUUAAUGCCUAUGGUUAUGUAUGUUACGCAGUUCGAGAGAAGUUGUUUCUCUAGGAUAGCAUGUAGUUACGUAUGGAAAAGUUACAUUAAAGGACGAGAAUGAGUAACUUCUUUUCAUCAAAGAUUUCAAGCCUUUCUUUGUCUCUUUUUUAUCAUUUAAUUGAUAUUUGAUGGGUGGUAUGGUAUGAUUCCCUUUCCCCCUUCCGAAUGUGAAAUUUGAACUCUUUUCAUCUUUAGCAAUUAACAUGCAGAUAAAUGCAUCUCUAGUACUCGGGUUGACCACUACCGCUUCUAGCUAUGAAUACAGUAAACAGCUAGUGAAAAUAACUGGUUACACAGUUGGCAAUUUAACUUUUUGUUUUUGUGAAUUGCUUUUCAUUCUCUUUUAAGAAUAUGCAGAUGCUCCCAUCCAAUAAGCCAGUCAGUGGUUUUCCAGCCAUGCCCCCCAAAGUUGGUAAGCAAUUUUCCCGCCCCCCUUAAUGUGUGGCUGGCUGUUUCUCGUUAGUUUGAUUCUCCAUGAAGAAAUGACCUCAGUUGUUUUCAUUGGACCAUUCUAUCUGCAUGACCUAGACUGUUUUUCUCUUGAUAUUUCCGUUGUAGGUUAUUUCAACAACAUGCUAGAGCAUUUAUAGACUAUAUAUUAGCUAAAUUUAUUUUCUUGGAUAUUUUCCUCGUUUAUUAAUAAAUCAAUCCAUCCUCUGAAAUUAGAGAUGAGAGAAAGAAUGAUGUGUAGGUGCUAAGAAAAGAAAAGAAGGGUUGAUAGGUGAAAAGAUUAGGGAGGAGAAGUGAAAAGGGUAAUAAGAGAGACGGAAGAAAGAAUUGAAUGGGAGGGGCAUGGAGAAGAGAUGAGAGCGGUGGAAGGGAAGAAAAUAUUUCCACUUACCAAAAUCGAGAAUGCCACCAGAAAGGUGGCAUUUAGUGAAGAGAUGAGAAGUGUAGUAGUGAAAAGGAAAGCAAAAUAUUGAACACAGGAAAAAAUAUAGAUGGCUGGCUGAAGGGUUGGAUAUUAAAUUUGUAUUUAUCAUCUUGACGUAAUACCACACCCUUGCCUUUCAUUAUUCUCAACUGUCUCAAUUACUCUUUGCAUUUAUUUGUUUGUAAUGGCCUUUCAAUCUGAUAUAGUGCCCCUUUUGUUUCAAUGCUCGAACUACCCAACCCACCCCCUUCAUUUACCCAAUUGCCCUUCUCCCCUCCACCUCCGCCAAUUAUGAUUAACAACCCAUUAACUUAAGUUAUCAGAAGAUGAGUCCUUUUCAUAGCAUGGAUUUGCCUGAUAUGUUCUGUUUCUGACUGUACCACUCAUCUUACUGCUAGCUUGUCUAAUACUGAUUCAUCAUUAUACUAAUCUUGGGUUUACAACGUUUAGUUGAAAUAUGUGAUCUUAUCUUAGUAUCCCUUUGAUCAGUACUAGGAAACAACCAGACUUUGUCUGUGGACACAACCUUUCUGCUGGUUUAUUUGUCAUAUCUUUUCCCUUGGGAGUGGGGAUGGGCAACAUCAUAGAUAUAGGUUUUGUUUGGUCCCGUGGAGUGUCUUUCACGAAGCUCUUUUUUGAGUUUUGACUCCUAAGUGUACAGAACCGUGGGGCCCUCUUGAGUCAUAGCCGUACCAUCUUCUACAAGUGCUGCCUUCUUUCCUAAGUACAAAAAACAAACGGAGAGAAGAGCUUCUAACUUGGUGGUCACAAUGGUUUUUUUUUCACUCCUCACGUCCCAAAUCUUUCUAGGCUAGUGAAAAGAACAAACAAGCACAGAGAGGAAUAACCUCUGAUUUAGAUUCACACACAGACAUGCCUUGUUCUGUAGAAUCAGGAACUCUGCGUCAUUGCUCCAGCUGAUGUCGAUGAUGUGGCAUUGUGUCAUUGGUCGCCUAGUUGAUGGUAACAGGAUAGGUGACAAAAAAGAUAGAUACAAAAGGAGAAAGCCCAUAUCAAAAGUACUUAGUCAUAGGAAACAUUUGGUCAGCCGUAGCUAGCCAGUUUUACAUUUGAUCCUCCUUCUAAACCAGAAAACACCCCCUCACCGCCGCCUGAGGUUUCCAUAAUAUUUAAUCCUAUUUUGCAGAUGGAAAAACAGAGAAACUAGAAUCCUACCACCCUCCCAAAUAGAAAGAAAGAAGAAGAAGAAAUGAAAGAAAAGCAGUGCUAUUCGCGCUCCACUUCAAUUGACUUACUUUCCCAUUCUCUUGGUAGCUUUUUUUUACGCUUUUGUUUUUCUGCCACAGAAUGGAGCUGAGAAGUGGAGCGCAGAUAGCGCUACUUACCAUGGAUAGGCAGAAGAGAUAAUCUAGAAGAAAGAAAAUGAAAGGAGAAAAUAGAUUUGCCUACAGAGCCACUCAUAAUAAAGUCCUAAGAAAAAAGAGUCUCUCUUUUCCCCUGCCCCCCUCAUUUCUUAGCUCUAAUGUUGCAGUUGUUGCUGCUGCUGUCAUGGAGGAAGUCAAGCAAGACGGUGCUCUUGCACUUGGGGCAUCGGGGAUCAUCCUCAGAGAGCAUCACGUACAUAAGACACCUCGGACAACCGACAAGAACCAUGGAAGUUGCUUCAGGGCUGUUGGAAUACCUCAACCCGCCGCUGCUGUCAUCCUGGUUCAUCUCAGACGACACACAGGAGCUCGGCGGCGAAGUCGGGGACACCGUGGCCGAUCGGCUAGGUGAAUCUACCCUCAUAAAGUUGUUGUUGUUCCCGCCUCUGGGUGGCGACAGGUUUAGCUUCAGCUCCAGCUUUGGGUUGUUGCUGUUGUUCCUUCUGCUCAUCCUGCCGGUCAAAAGAAAAAAACAAGUUAGUUCCCAUGACUCUUACUGCUGCAUCUUUUGAAUUGAACCAUCUCUGUUUUUUUUGAAUAAACCUGUUUGAAAGGAGGUGCGCCCCUGAAACUCCUGGAGAACCUAGAAGAGGAACUUGAGCUAUUGAGGUGUAAUUAGGAACAGUUUAUGGGGAGGGGGUGUGGUGGUGGGUUCGAACAAGUUAGGGCGUUAUAUACAACAAGGUUGGAAAAUAUGAUGGGUGAGAGAGAGAGAGAGAUGAGAUGGGGGGGGGGGGGGGGGGGGGGUUGAUGAAGGGGGGGGGGGUUUGCUUUAAAGCUUAAAUUAAUUAUGGUGAAGGAGGGGAAGAGAGGUGGAGGGUGUAGAGAUAGAAAGAGAGAGAAUUGAAUGGAAUUGAAUUGAAUUGAGAGUGCUGGUAGUAGAAGCAAAGCAAGGAGGAGAAGAAGAGGGUGUUAAUUGAGACCAAGAAAUGUAUUAAUGAAUGGGGAAAAAAUCCCAAGGAGUAUGCAGAAGGAGGAAACUUUGGAGUAAAUACUGCUAAGUGCAAGCAAAGCCUCCAAAACCCACCACCCUUCAUUCACUGCCCUUUAACACACAACAACAAUGGACAGCCGCAGAUCCACGAUGGUCCAACGCACUGGUUUGAAUUGAUAGAAUUUCAAAGGUAUUAGACAGUAUCUAAACAAUAGUACUUGAACAUUAAGAGAUUCUCAUAAAUUUACGAAUUUUUAAAAGUUCUACACACGAAUAAGGGCUAGGUUGUGAUUUGGGGAAGCCCUUUCCAGUCUCUGUCGCCGACGAUGGAGGUAAGGGAAGAAGCAUGAGAAUAUAGAUGUCUCUGAACACUGUGUACAUGUUUUAGAGACUUCAUCAGGAGACAGCAAGUAUGAAGUAUUUAAGUUUUUUUUGGUGGGAAAUAGUUUGGGCUAGCAUUAUCUAGAAGUUAUGUUUCGUGACUUCUUAAUUCUUUUUUCCUUAAUUUUGGUUUAGCAUUUUUGUAAAUUUUAUGUGCAAUUGUUAACCUAGUUGUAUGGUCCGAACCGG
rnacentral:lncRNA from 1 species